GUCUUCUCGUUAUCUGGUCACACCAUUCGCCGUUGAUCGAUUGUUACCGAUAGAUCCCGAUAACUCCCGUUGGGGCGGCGUUGCCACUUGGUGACCCUGGUAUUUCCGUACUGUGACCCGUCAUGUGCUGCUUUUUCCGAUGUUUUUGCCCAUCGAUUGACACUAUCGAGUGCCGAUCGACCGCCUUGUGAUCAAGGCGCCCCCUUCCCUAAGCACAUGGUGACUCCGCAAAUGUUGACAACAGAAGGAAUUUUAGGACUCUCUUCGGACCUCCCCCUUCGAUGGACCUAGAUGUCGCGGAUGGCUGCUUUCUCUUCGGGAUUUCACCUUCGGCAUACACAUGGCAUCGACAUGGACCCCUUUUCCUGGAGGCGGACCAGCACUUGCGGAAGCACACACACAUUUCGCCCUCAUGAAAUUCUUUUGAUAUGAUGUGAAUCUAAAUCUACAUAUACCUGAAUAUCCUAUGUUUUGUGCGCGUUCGUGUGAUCCGUCC
rnacentral:sRNA from 1 species